rnacentral:rRNA from 1 species
AUUGAACGCUGGCGGCAUGCCUUACACAUGCAAGUCGAACGGCAGCGGGGGAGAAGCUUGCUUCUCCUGCCGGCGAGUGGCGAACGGGUGAGUAAUACAUCGGAACGUGCCCUGUAGUGGGGGAUAACUAGUCGAAAGAUUAGCUAAUACCGCAUACGACCUGAGGGUGAAAGUGGGGGACCGCAAGGCCUCAUGCUAUAGGAGCGGCCGAUGUCUGAUUAGCUAGUUGGUGGGGUAAAGGCCCACCAAGGCGACGAUCAGUAGCUGGUCUGAGAGGACGAUCAGCCACACUGGGACUGAGACACGGCCCAGACUCCUACGGGAGGCAGCAGUGGGGAAUUUUGGACAAUGGGCGAAAGCCUGAUCCAGCAAUGCCGCGUGUGUGAAGAA